UACGUAGGGGGCGAGCGUUAUCCGGAAUUACUGGGUGUAAAGGGAGCGUAGACGGCGAGGUAAGCCUGAAGUGGAAGCCCGCGGCCCAACCGCGGAACUGCUCUGGGAACUGUUUUGCUGGAGUAUGGGAGGGGUAAGCGGAAUUCCUGGUGUAGCGGUGAAAUGCGUAGAUAUCAGGAGGAACACCGGUGGCGAAGGCGGCUUACUGGACCAUAACUGACGUUGAGGCUCGAAAGCGUGGGGAGCGAACAGG
rnacentral:rRNA from 1 species